GUGCGAGAACGGGAACUGGAAUCUGAAACUGAAUUGUUUACUGCUCGUAUUACUUCUUUGGGUGGGUUUAAGAGUAGCGCAUAUUUAUUCGUGCCUCAGCCGGGACUUAAGUGGUUGGCCCAUGAUGAAAUCAUUUAAUUUAGUAAAGUGGUAAAGACAAGGAGUAAUACUAUCUGAGUGGUCAAGGGCUGCGCCUGCGCCAUUCCUUUACAGGUUGCGGCGAUCCAGGACCAACGGUGUCCCACCGAGAUGCAGUUCGACCUCUCUUUGUCCUUGGACGGCAAUAGACCAAGGUCCAGCGCCUCGCCAUUAUUUCACGGACUCUGCUUUACAGGGGUCCAACACACAACUCAUUAUUUUUCAGUUAUCAUGGCUGCCCUUCUUCUUCGAUGUUACUAGGCGCUGCUCUCCUGCAUCUAGAAUUGCUCUAUUUUAAAGACACCUCACACUGGAAAGGAAACUACGUGUAGGUUUCGGACACCGAAGCUUUGACAAAGUCGAGCACUUGCUUGUACAUUUCCUACAUAAUGGCGUCACUGCAUAUGGAUAUGGGGUAGAAAAGAAAAAACAUGCAAAACAGGACAUUUUUCUUCGUGAAAAGGGCCCUAAAACUAAUUUUAAAAUUGAAUAAAAAUACGCAAAUAUAACGAA